rnacentral:lncRNA from 1 species
GGUCAGUGUGUUACGUUUGUAUGAUUAGCACAAAGUACAAACAAACGAACACUUUGCAUAAAAAAGAACAUAUCGCUGAAAUCCAUGAAUGUUUAGAUUUUUUUUAUGUGAAUGUCUCCGUGUAAAUAGUACUCCGUCCGGUUUGAAAUAUAGAUCGCUAGACUUUUUGACACGUCUUUGACCGCAUAAUUAAAAUUAUUAUUUUUAAAAUUUUCUUUUUCUGAAUUAUGAUAUUAAUCUUAUAUUUUUAUUCAAAAAAAAUAUCAAAAAUAAUGAUUUUAACUAUGCAGUCAAAAGACUUAGAAUUAUUUGCAAAUUUCUUGACUUACGGGAUGGUAUUGUAUCAUGAUUUUUAAUGGCUUUUAUUGACUUUUAAAAUAUAGGUGUAUUCAAUGAGGUGUAUUCAAUUAAGACUUUUAAAUACUCUUUAAAAAUAAAGAGGUAUUGUAUCAGGAUUUUUAAAAAUUCUUUUAAAGUUUGAGGUAUUGAAUUAAAACUUUUAAAGAGUUAUUAAAAGUCAACUGUUAUUCAAUAUAUCAAUGACUUGGGUGGAAAAAUACACUCCUUCCGUCCCAGCCAAUUCUUUACGUUUGGUUUGGGCACGGAGGUUAAGAAAUAUGUAUAAAGUAGUGGAAAAGAGAAAGAAAAGUGGGUGAAGUGGCGGCACCCAUCAAUUUUUAAUGUAUAAAAGAGAGAUAGUGGAGUAAAAGUAGUGUGAAAAGGGAGUAAAAGUAGUGUGAAAGGAAAGAAAAGUUGGGAAGUGGUGGGACCCAUUGACUAUUUUUGGUAAGUUUUGAAAUGUAAAGAAUUGGAUGGGACAUCCCAAAAAAGAAACUGUAAAGAACCUGGUGGGACGGAAAGAGUAAUUGAUAGAUUUUUAAUGACUUUCUAUGAAAAAUUGUAUAGAAAAUUGUCAGGUCAUUAUUGUCAAGAUUUGACAUGACAUUAUUUUCUCUCAAUUAACCGAUCGCUAGCUAUUAAUGAAAAUUUUCUUGUUUUAAUCUUUGGUUCCAUGUGCAAAUAAAACAGAAAGCUAGCUUCUUAAGGUAGUCACUACUCAGACUAUUAUUUUUUGGAUCAACUAGAGAUAUGUUAGACUUCAGAAAUCUCAGUUCAGG